rnacentral:rRNA from 1 species
AUUGAACGCUGGCGGCAGGCUUAACACAUGCAAGUCGAACGAGUGGCGGACGGGUGAGUAAUGCUUGGGAAUCUAGCUUAUGGAGGGGGAUAACUACGGGAAACUGUAGCUAAUACCGCGUCACAUAGGAUGAGCCCAAGGGGGAUUGGGUAGGUAGGGAGGUAAAGGCUCAACAAGCUGACGAUCUCUAGCUGGUCUGAGAGGAUGACAAGCCACACUGGGACUGAGACACGGCCCAGAUUCCUACGGGAGGCAGCAGGGGGGAAUAUGGCACAAUGGGGACAACCUUACGCAGCCAUGCCGCGGGAAUGAAGAAGGCCUUCGGGUUGUAAAGUUCUUUCGGUAGCGAGGCGUUAACUACAGAAGAAGCACCGGCUAACUCCGUGCCAGCAGCCGCGGUAAUAC